rnacentral:lncRNA from 1 species
CGCCGUCGUUCUGAUCCUAACCAUACUGUUCUGGUUCUACUCCUUUAACCUAGUCACACCGCCGUUCUGAUCCUAACCAUACUGUUCUGGUUCUACUCCUUUAACCUAGUCACGCUGUCGUUCUGAUCCUAACCAUACUGUUCUGGUUCUACUCCUUUAACCUAGUCACGCCGUCGUUCUGAUCCUAACCAUACUGUUCUGGUUCUACUCCUUUAACCUAGUCACGCUGUCGUUCUGAUCCUAACCAUACUGUUCUGGUUCUACUCCUUUAACCUAGUCACACUGUCGUUCUGAUCCAAACCAUACUGUUCUGGUUCUACUCCUUUAACCUAGUCACACCGUCGUUCUGAUCCUAACCAUACUGUUCUGGUUCUACUCCUUUAACCUAGUCACGCUGUCGUUCUGAUCCUAACCAUACUGUUCUGGUUCUACUCCUUUAACCUAGUCACGCUGUCGUUCUGAUCCUAACCAUACUGUUCUGGACUUUUCUUAUCACGUUGUCCUUUCCAGGCCAAUUCAGCUCUGCUCGGAUCGACUCCGUAGUGUGAAAAUGACUCUUUUUUCAUCCUUGCCUUGUAACCAGAGAUUGAUUUGUCGCUGGGAAACUAGGUGUGUGCACACGUCAGCCAAUCAUUAGUUGAUCAUAAGUACCAGGGAGAAACACUAACCUAGCAGGACUGUGGAUGUCGAGGGCCUGAAUUUAUGCACCCUUGAUCAAGACAAUCAACUGUUACUGUAUUUCUCAGUGUUGAGUUUACCCAGGUCAACUGUUACUGUAUUUCUCAGUGUUGAGUUUACCCAGGUCAACUGUUACUGUAUUUCUCAGUGUUGAGUUUACCCAGGUCAACUGGCUAACUCAUUGAUCCUGCCUGGUGAGUUUACCACCCAGCUCUGCCCAUUCAUGUCAUUAGAUAUAAACUGGGAUUUCUGAGUGCUCUGCACAGCUAUGCCCAUCAAAGCAAAGCUAGUAGCUGCAAUGGAGACUGCAGAGAGAACAGAACCCUCCACAGUUACAACUGGGACGUAGACUUCUCAAUGAUUGUACAAACAUCAUCAUGGCAACAGAACGUGACUUAGGCCUUAUUGGUAACUGUAAUGAAUUAACAAAUGUAAUGAUUUAAUACCAGACAUGUACCCAAUUACAGUCCUCUUCCACUGCUUUUCCAUUUAAAUAGUGUUUGAAAUUAGUAUUUGAAAAAAAUACAAAUUCUAAUUCAUUUGAAAAAGGGCAUCCAAAAGUAGUGACAAUUCCAAAACUUGUUUACGAUCCUGUUAUUACAUGGUAAUUACAAAGCUUAUUUCAUUGGUAGUUAAUAUGGUAUAACAAGGCGACGCCUAUGGUGUCAAGUGUGGCCGGAAACAUUACUGUACUAGAAGGAUUGGUACACUUGCAGUCCCGCAGUCAAACACACUCCAGUCCUCGAGGGCCUGAUUGAUUGGAGUUUCCCAUCCCUACUCCAGGGGAAUGGAGUUGCCCAUCCCUGCUCCAGGGGAAUAGAGUUGCCCAUAACUGCUCCAGGGGAAUAGAGUUGCCCAUCCCUGCUCCAGGGGAAUAGAGUUGCCCAUCCCUGCUCCAGGGGAAUGGAGUUGCCCAUUCAUGCUCCAGGGGAAUGGAGUUACCCAUCCCUGCUCCAGGGGAAUGGAGUUGCCCAUCCCUGCUCCAGGGGAUAGAGUUGCCCAUCCCUGCUCCAGGGGAAUGGAGUUGCCCAUCCCUGCUCCAGGGGAAUGGAGUUGCCCAUCCCUGCUCCAGGGGAAUGGAGUUGCCCAUCCCUGCUCCAGGGGAAUGGAGUUGCCCAUCCCUGCUCCAGGGGAAUGGAGUUGCCCAUCCCUGCUCCAGGGGAAUGGAGUUGCCCAUCCCUGCUCCAGGGGAAUGGAGUUGCCCAUCCCUGCUCCAGGGGAAUGGAGUUGCCCAUCCCUGCUCUAUGGGAAUGGAUGAUAAAAAGUGAGGGAGACUGAAAGACAGAUACACAGUCCAGGGUUCACUAAGGCCUGAGGGUCAAGGACACACCCUGAGAUAGUUGAACUGCAGGAAGACUGGGUUGUAGUCAUUAGGGCACAGCGUAGCAAAACGUUUUGUAACUAAAAACAAUUGUUUGUUAUUGUUCUGGUAUCCGUCCCUGUUUCAGUCAGUUUCCUUCUGUUUGCUGCAUAGUAAACACUACCCUGUUGAGACAGUGAGAGGCCCCAUUGGCAUAGACUCCACACCCCAGACAAUCAAGGCAGCUUUGUGUUUGUUUUUGUGUGUGAGUUUAUUACAGCACAAUCUUACCAACGCCAAAGAGGUUUGCAUGCAGUGUUUUACUGUAUAUUGUGAAGAAGCUUGUGCUAUUAUGCUGCAAUUUCAGCUUAGCUUGAUCCAUGUUGAGGAUGGGUUUGCAUGGACACCACCUUGGCCUUGUUAGCUCCCUAGGAACUGUGAUUAUGUAUGUAUGUAUGCCUCUGACUGAAUCAAUGUCAGUGUAAAACUGAGCGUGUGUUUCUGUGUGUCUGUCUGUCUGUCAGAAUAUAUAUAUAUAUAUAUGAGUUGUUUUGAAAGAUGUCUUACCUCAAGUAUGUAUGUGUUGUUGUCAAAUGAGAGGAUUGUACUGUAUAUACCAAAUAAAGUAUACUUUUGAACAGGUGAUUUACUGUUCUGUGUUUGUCUUUGGCUUCUGUUCCUCCUAGGGCAGGGCUCUCCAAGUCCGGUGAUGGGGAACUACUGGGUGAGCAGGCUUUUGUUCUAUCCCAGCGCUAACACAUUUCCAAUAAGGAUCUGCAUAACUGAUCAUGGCCUUGAGAUAUGUUAAGAA